UUCUCUUAAAUGCAAGUUUAAAUUUUAUAAAGAAUAUCAAAUAAUUAAAAUUAAAAUACUGCAGUUUGUAGAAAUCUGAAAUGAAGGUGGAAAACAUUGGAGCCAGUUUACACAACAGGGAUCUGUGAAGUGAGAAAGAUAGAGUUAAUAUUUCACACCGAAGAUCUUCAGGCAGAAACAUCAAACUAACUUUCUGCCUCUACAGAUGCUUAUGACUUGCUUGAUGCUCCCAGAACUGUGUCUUUUUAAACUUAUUGAAAUCGUUUCUAUUUUAAAGGAUUAUGGAUGUUAGCAUUUUAACAUAAAGUGGUCUUUUCAUAGAAGUAGGUGAUAUAGAUCACAGUACCACACUAUACACAUUGAUCUGAUUAUUUGUUUUUCUCAGAUUGCAGGCACCUCUCAUGGCACAAUCACAUUUAUUUCAGCUUUGAUUAUUGACUGAUGUGCUGAUGUACAUGAAGGAGACAGAGUGAGGCUAGUACGUCAGCAUAGUUUGUUUUCCGGCAGAGUGGGGAAUGCACCAUUUCAUGUAUUGCUGUGAUCCAAAGAAGAAUGCAGAUGCUGGACAAGUGGGAAACAUCCAUUUAGAAAACUAUAGAAAAAGAACCAUGAAGGAUGAUAAGUUCCUUCAGGAUGAAAAUCUCUCAAAUGCUGAGCAUGUUUAACAGCAACCAUUGGAAUCUUCUAUGUUUAAGAGCUAACUGUAUUUAAUGACACUGAGAUUUUGUCAACUCUCGAUAAAUAAAGAUGUACCUUAGUCCCUU